UGGUAUGUACUGGUGUUACUGGUUCCUACCUUCUGACGAACCGUCAUGUCAUUAAUUUGGUGUGGCGGGAAAUCAGGACUGUUACUUUGAAAAAAUUAGAGUGUUUAAAGCAGGCUCGCGCUUGAAUACAUUAGCAUGGAAUAAUGAAAUAGGACGUUCGAUCCUAUUUUGUUGGUUUCUAGGAUUGACGUAAUGAUUAAUAGGGAUAGUUGGGGGCAUUAGUAUUCAAUUGUCAGAGGUGAAAUUCUUGGAUUUAUUGAAGACUAACUACUGCGAAAGCAUUUGCCAAGGAUGUUUUCAUUAAUCAAGAACGAAAGUUAGGGGAUCGAAGACGAUCAGAUACCGUCGUAGUCUUAACCAUAAACUAUGCCGACUAGGGAUCGGAUGAUGUUAAUUUUUUAAUGACUCAUUCGGC
rnacentral:rRNA from 1 species